rnacentral:rRNA from 1 species
AGGAUGAACGCUGGCGGCGUGCUUAACACAUGCAAGUCGAACGAUGAAGGCUGGAGCUUGCUCUGGCUGGAUUAGUGGCGAACGGGUGAGUAACACGUGAGUAACCUGCCCCCGACUCUGGGAUAAGCGCUGGAAACGGCGUCUAAUACCGGAUACGAGCUUCCGCCGCAUGGUGAGGAGCUGGAAAGAUUUCGGCUGGGAUGGACUCGCGGCCUAUCAGCUUGUUGGUGAGGUAAUGGCUCACCAAGGCGACGAC